UAUCUCUGUGAUUGCUCCAGUAGGUACUUCCCAGCAACCUAAUCCUGCUCCUGCGGGUCCAGUCCAGGCAGUCAGAACUGAAUGAUUUCAGCGGAUAGCACUAAGGGAGCUGUAACGUGAUGGUCACAGCACCCCCCAAGUGAAGGAAAAUACAAAUUCAUAUUUUCACAGAUAGAGGGUGAAACUAAACCCAGGUUCCCCUAAAAACCAAGUUUGGGACUUUUUAAUCACCAAAUUACAGGAAAAGCACAGUUUGUCCUACCCCUUAAACAUUCAUGCCUUGUAUACAGGGGCCCCAUAGGCAUCUCACAUGCUGAACUGAGCUCCAAGUGGAGCAAGUGGUUCCUUGUAACCCAGUUUUAGUUUUGAGGAUGCUGAGAGACAAAUUGGUAAAUGUUGGGACUGUACUUCCCAACCUUAAACACCUCAUGAAUAGCAGAGCUGGCAAAAUGGACCAUUUGUCAGUGUCCUGGUUAAGAAUUUGCAGUGUGGUCCCACCCUAGCAUUCCUGAGCGCCCGCUGCAGGGGCUGAGACAAAUGUGCGUAGUCCAUCUGCCAAUUUUCCAGUUGCAGCCUCGAUACCUGCUCACGGGCUGCCACAGAGCAGCAUCUUUCGAGAUUCCUUGGCACUAAACCCCGACCGCCGUGCCCGCAGUCACAUAAAUGCCAUCAGCCUUUCGCAGCACCACGUUCAGCCAGCUUCUUGUUCGGGGUGCAUCCCACAUGAUCCCAUUCCUCCCCUUGCCUCCGCCACGUACCAUACAGGAAACCCAGAGAGAGAAGUGGGCAUCACGGAUGUCACCAAGCUCCGGGGCUGUGUAAUGUUAACAGCCACGCUGCUGAGCACUGCAGCACCGAGACCCCCGUGCCCCAAACCCACACGCCCUUGUAAGCGACAUGCAGCUGUAAUUCUUUCUCUGGAAACGGGAACACAGAAACAAUCCCACUAAUGCUAAUGAGGUAUCAACUAAUACAAUGACAAAUGCCCUACGAAUGCCUAAGUAGUUACUCACUGAAUGAAUAAAUAAAUAAGGCAAAGGGCACUGGCUGCACGCAGAGAUUUAAACUAACCAGCUGUCUUCUCCUGGGAGAGGCGUCUACUCUGCGUCCCAAGCGAGGAAGGGUUUGCAAACUAGAAAAAUGGCAUGUGACAAGGUACUUCGUUCCCCAUCCUUUGCACUCACAGGGGAGUCAAAAUUACAGAUGUUGCCUAAUUUUUAGAGCAUCUGACAUUGUGUCAGUGCUCUUUGAACGCUGUUUAGUGCAUAUAGUACAGAGUUAAAUGUGCAUAGCUUCAGGGCCCUGAAACUCUGCAAUACCAGGGAGGGAAUUAAGGACAUAGCGGCAAUCUUCACUCAGAAUUCCCUUGCUUUUGUCAGAUGAAGUUAAAUCUCGAAAGAUAUUGCAACAAGCUGUAGCUUUUUUUUUUUUGCAUUUAAUUAGAUUUAUGGCCCACUUGGUUAUCGCAGGCUAGUUGGAAACAGGCGUGCGCACACUGUGCAGUCAGCACAUCGAUGCUGCUUCUGGGAAAGCGCCAGCCAGAAGUUACAGGAGCUGCAUGUGGCAGCUUUUGUUAGGGGAACAAAAACAGUUCAGCUGGGUUAAGCAGAGUAUUUACUUGUGAGGCAAACUGCAUUUGUGUAUGUACUUGUGAGGCCCAGAAGGCAGCUUCACUUGGAGUAGUAACGUUUCUCAGAAUUUCGAUGUCCAAAUGGGUAAGGGACUGAGUAUCUGGUAUCUCAAGGAGUACAACACCUAGAAUCUCAGCCAGCAAGCUUAGCCUAAAAUGAGGUCAGAGCAAACACUUGAGUUUAAAUUCAUGUUUUUGCAGCUCAUUGUAGUAUCUAUAAAAAUCUAUAGACCAACUGUCACAGCGACAAGUAUCCUCUCCUUCACAGCGUGUUACUCAGAGCUCUUGGAUCUUUCAACCAUGCUGGUGGCAUCCACGUACAAGAGCAAGGCAACUGACACACCUGAGGAAAACCAAACUGCAAUACCACCAGUGACCUGCGUAACCAGUUCCACUCCCCUUUUCUGUGGAUGUCACAGGACUAAGAGCAGAAUUAAUACUGUUAAAUCGACGUGGGUCACAGGCAAGAGCAACUGAUCUGCUGAGUACAAGCCUCAUGAUAAACCCCACAAUGUUGGUCCCUUCUUGUAAGAAUCCAGGAACUGGAACAAGGCAGAUCUAUGAACCAAACCUGAAAUACAUUAGGACAGUGAAAUGAAGACUUAUGGAAAUACAAGCUGUGGUAGGUAUAUUUGAUGCAGUUCAAGUUCAUUUUCUCUUCAAAGAUUACAAAUUGUUCCAAAAUACUUUUAUAACCUUCAAAAUUUUCAAUAAAAAAUAGGUGUUAACCUGAAAAUUGUGA